GGCCAAAUGGUCUAGUAGUAUGAUUCGCCCUUCGGGUACCACCGGCCCGGAAAAGGUCAUCAAAUGGGCGAGGUCCCGGGUUCAAUUCCCGGUUUGGCCC